UAUGCAGACGACGGGUCCGGUGCCCGUCAACGCCAGCGACGGCGUCAGGGGAGGAAGCCCGGUGAGAAUCCGGCGCGGUCCCGCCACUGUGAGCCCGGCAGCAGCCGGGUGAGCCAGGAACUCCCGCCGUCCUCCCUACCGCCCG
rnacentral:ncRNA from 2 species